UUGGUUUGUUUUUGUUUUUUGUUUUAUUUUUCCCGCGACCGAGUCUCGCUGUCACCCAGGCUGCUGUGCAAUGAUGCGAUCAUAGCGCACUGCAUCAUCUCCAGGGCACAUCUCUCCUCCCGCCUCGGCCUCCCAAAGUGUUGAGGUGGUAGGCAUGAGGCAUCCAGCAGGGCUUCAUUCACAUUUUCUGUCUGCCUAUGGAGGCUGGGAUCAGCCCUGGCCAUUCAGGGAGUUCCGUGGAGGGUGCCCCGGGCCCACCAGGCCAUCCUCUGACCGCUUUGGGCCGAGUGUAUUACAGGUUCAUGUGGGACCCGAACCAGGCGGUGUAGACUGGGGAAAGUGCCUGUCUGGUGAGGUCCGGCGGGUGUUCGAGCGCCACCUAGGGUCAGUCUGAUGCCAUCCCCUGAGCUUGGCUGCCGCGUGUAUGGGAAGUGAUCUGGCUGCAAACCGCAAGAGAGAGUUCCAGGAGGUCGCCGGCGAUGACAGAGUCUUCUCGGCUACGACACGCGCCGCCCCAUCAUGGGCUCUCCUGAGAUCGUUACUGCGUGUUGCGGGCGAGCAGUCUCUGAGAAUCUCGCGGGCUGAAUGUCGCAUGAGGUCCCCUCCGCCCGUGGGGACUGGCUGCUGCCGUCGCAGUUCUCAGGAGAUCUGAUGGUUUAAAGAUGUGCGGCACUUCCCACUUCGUGCUCUCUCCUGAUCCCUCCUGCUUCAAGUGAAGACUGACUCGAUCCCCAGUAGCCUUCCGCCUUGAUAAGUUUCCUGAGGCCUCCCAGCCUUGCUUCCUGUACAGCCUGCAGAACUGUGUGACCGUGGUGAUUGCUGGCAAUAGGGCACUGAAAAUACCACUGUUUUGAAGAGAAUUUUGUUUUAUGACAAAAUGUAAGUAUAAGAAUAAAAAACAUCUAAGGGAAAAAUACCAGAACAUUUAUGCACAUGCUAAUAUUGAGUCAGAAUGUAUCUUGACAAAAUGACAAAGUUGAUCUGAAUAUUCAUAACUGUAAUGGGAUAUUUUAAUAUAGCCUUUCAGGAAACGGGGAAGACAAUUAUUUGUUUUUGAACUAAUAGAGAUGGGGUCUUACUAUGUUGCCCAGGCUGGUCUCCAACUUCAGGCCUCAAGCAAUCCUGCCUCAGCCUCCCAAAUUGUUGGGAUUACAGCCAUGAGCCACUGCACCCAGAUGAUGAUAAUAUUUGAUAGUAUACAUGUUGUUUGGAAACAGU
rnacentral:lncRNA from 1 species